GCCUGAUCCAGCCAUGCCGCGUGAAGGAAUAAGGUCCUAUGGGUGCUGAAACUUCUUUUGACGCAGAGCAAUAAGGGACACGCGUGUUCCGAUGAGAGUAUGCGUCGAAUAAGCAUCGGCUAACUCCGUGCCAGCAGCCGCGGUAAUACGGAGGAUGCGAGCGUUAUCCGGAUUUAUUGGGUUUAAAGGGUGCGUAGGCUGUUGGAUAAGUCAGCGGUGAAAUCACCACGCUUAACGUGUUGUGUGCCGUUGAAACUGUCUGGCUUGAAUGCGCUCGUCGUGAGAGGAAUGUGUGGUGUAGCGGUGAAAUGCAUAGAUAUCACACAGAACACCGAUUGCGAAGGCAUCUCACGAGGGCGCUAUUGACGCUGAUGCACGAAAGCGCGGGUAUCGAACAGGAUUAGAUACCCUGGUAGUCCGCGCUGUAAACGAUGAUGACUAACCGUUGGUCUGGUAUGGAUCAGUGGUCAAGCGAAUGCGUUAAGUCAUCCACCUGGGGAGUACGGCCGCAAGGCUGAAACUCAAAGGAAUUGACGGGGCCCGCACAAGC
rnacentral:rRNA from 1 species